GGUGAGGAGGAGACAUUAGACUGGUAGGUAUGAAGAGGAGACAUUAGACUGGUAGGUAUGAGAAGGAGACAUUAGACUGGUGAGGAGGAGACAUUAGACUGGUAGGUAUGAGGAGGAGACAUUAGACUGGUGAGGAGGAGACAUUAGACUGGUAGGUAUGAGGAGGAGACAUUAGACUGGUAGGAGGAGACAUUAGACUGGUGAGGAGGAGACAUUGGACUGGUAGGUAUGAGGGGACAUUAGACUGGUAGGUAUGAGGAGGAGACAUUAGACUGGUAGGUAUGAGGAGGAGACAUUAGACUGGUAGGUAUGAGGAGGAGACAUUAGACUGGUAGGUAUGAGGAGGAGACAUUAGACUGGUAGGUAUGAGGAGGAGACAUUAGACUGGUGAGGAGGAGACAUUAGACUGGUGAGGAGGAGACAUUAGACUGGUGAGGAGGAGACAUUAGACUGGUAGGUAUGAGGAGGAGAACACAUUAGACUGGUAGGUAUGAGGAGAACACAUUAGACUGGUAGGAGGAGAUUGUUUCCUUGGGUUUUAACCUCCUUAGGGAGCGGAGCCGUGACAUCAUGCGCGACUACGGCUGUGUAUUAAUUCUGCAUGCAGUACGACGGAGCGU
ensembl:lncRNA